GGAUGAUGAUGGGCUGCAGUUUGGCUCCGCUGGUCUGGUGUAGAACAGGAUCUCUGGAGGCUGUUUGCAACUGUGGUCACAAAAUUCAAUGUUCUGGGAGAAUUGGAAGCAGCUCCAUUUUUUGGGGGCCCCUUACACAGCUCAAGGUCUGGGCCCCAGGGCCUGACUGUGAGUAUGCCCACAAGGCCCACUCAUAAGUCCACUUAUAUGUUCCACCCACCCAUGAGUUCGCUCAUAAUAUGUGUGCUUAUGGUAUGUAGUGUAUAGG